AUGUUGAUCUAUAUAAUCAUACUUUUAUCUGUUGAAGGUAACAAAGCCAAUAUAAUCACCUCAAACAAAGACACCGAAUUUGCUAUUGAGGGGGACAGUGUAAAGCUCUCUUGUAACUACAACGGUUCUGUUCGUGGUCUUCACUGGUAUCGGCAGUAUGUGGGUUCAUCACCACAGUUCCUCAUUCUAGUCGCGUAUGGAAAAACUACCCCAGCAGAUCCUCCAGUUUCUGGAAUCUCAAUCAAUCACAGAAACGAUGACAAUAGUGUUGAUCUGAAGAUUCUCUCUUCUGCUGUAACUGACUCUGCUCUGUACUACUGUGCUCUGGAGCCCACAAUGACAGGAAAUGCACUGCACAUUGUACAAAAAGCUUUUUAA